rnacentral:rRNA from 1 species
GUGGGGAAUCUUAGACAAUGGGGGAAACCCUGAUCUAGCCAUGCCGCGUGAGCGAUGAAGGCCUUAGGGUUGUAAAGCUCUUUCAGCUGGGAAGAUAAUGACUGUACCAGCAGAAGAAGCCCCGGCUAACUCCGUGCCAGCAGCCGCGGUAAUACGGAGGGGGCUAGCGUUGUUCGGAAUUACUGGGCGUAAAGCGCACGUAGGCGGAUUGGAAAGUUGGGGGUGAAAUCCCGGGGCUCAACCCCGGAACUGCCUUCAAACCUCCCAGUCUUGAGUUCGAGAGAGGUGAGUGGAAUUCCGAGUGUAGAGGUGAAAUUCGUAGAUAUUCGGAGGAACACCAGUGGCGAAGGCGGCUCACUGGCUCGAUACUGACGCUGAGGUGCGAAAGCGUGGGGAGCAAACAGGAUUAGAUACCCCAGUAGUCC